UUAUCCCAUGCCGACAUUCCACCUUAUUUUAGAGAUGUGCAUAAUUGCUGGUGGGAGAGAUAGACACUUCUUUUCUGGUAGUAUCUAAACUCCAAAAAUGCUUCUGAAAGUCACACCAUUCUAUAAAUGCUUUGAGGCACCUUGUUAAAGAAUUUUGUUUUUCUGCAUUAAGAUUUAUGCUGUGAGAAGAGCCAUCAUUGCUUAAAUACACUGGUCUGCAAGCUCAGGUUUCUUCUAAUUCACUUUGAGAUGGUGGUGAAUUGACGUGGUAUUCAAAGAGAAAAAAAGAUACCCUAAAAAGGAAAUGCUUAAACCUAAGGAAUAUGUCUCUAACAGUGGAAUUUGAGGCAAUUAGUGUUUCUAAUGGAGAUAGGGAUUCCUUUA
rnacentral:lncRNA from 1 species